ACGCAGCACAAAAUGAGAGUCUCCCGCUUCGUUUGGUUGUACAAGUUCUCUUCUUUGAGCAGGUCAGAGCAGCAGCAGCAGCAGCUAAUGGUCAAAGCCUCAACCACAACCUGAAUUACACUUCGAAUGCGACGAAAAACACAGAGGAAGGUUGCGAAGUCCUGGAGAAGCAAAUGAGCGUGAAAUUGAAGGUAGCAACUGUUGAGGCUGAGGAGGAGGAAGAGGAGGAGCAGAGGAAUAUGAGGCUGAUGAAGAAAAACAGCAGCAAGAAUAGCAAAAGUGGAUUGCAGUUGCUACCAUCUCGUUCAAGGAGAAUAUUUGACAAGUUGUGGGGUGUUGGGAGGGGAGGGCAUGUAGUAGAGAGCAAGAGCUCUGAGACAUCUGGCAGCUCAGAGCUGAAUGUGCAUUCAUUCAUUGUCCUUUAUUUGGUGGAUAUAUUAAAUUUUGCUACCUCUUUUUCUGGAAAUUAUGACACGUGUGCUCUUCUUACAUGUAGGUAUGUUCCAUCCGAGCUGGCUACAGAUGUCACCAUUAAUGUUGGUGAAGUUAAAUUUUACCUCCACAAGGUAACUUCUUCAGUGCUUCUUCAAUAGCUGCUGAUAUGUUUGAAAUUCCGCCUUUUUAGAGUAGUUAGGACACAAGGCCUUUGAAAUAUGUGCUAAAUUCUGCUACGGAAUGACAGUCACUCUCAACGCAUACAAUGUCGUAGCUGCUCGAUGUGCAGCUGAGUACCUUGAGAUGACUGAGGAUGUCGAUUCAGGGAACCUGAUUUUCAAGAUUGAGGUGUUCCUCAACUCGAGCAUUUUCCGGAGCUGGAAAGAUUCUAUCAUUGUUCUUCAGACCACCAAGGCUCUAUUGCCCUGGUCUGAUGAGUUGAAGAUUGUUGGGAGAUGCAUUGAUUCCAUUGCAUCCAAGACUUCCAUUGACCCUUCCACUAUCACUUGGUCUUAUACUUACAAUAGGAAGCUGAAUGAUGCAGACAAUGAGAUACUACUAGAAGAUGAUGAUGACGUGCAUCGCAAGUUUCGAAAGAGAAACGGUCAUCAUCAUGGUGUUCCAAAGGAUUGGUGGGUUGAAGAUGCAUGUGAGCUGGAAAUUGACCUCUACAAGAGAGUAAUUCUUGCUGUCAAAUCGAAGGGUAGAAUGGACUGUAUGGUGAUGGGAGAGGCUCUUAAAUGUUAUGCUCUUCGAUGGCUUCCUGAUUCCUUAGAUGACUUGACUUGCGACGCAAGUAACUCGUGGCAUAAGUAUCUGGUGGAAACACUAAUCCAUCUUCUGCCCGCUGAAAAGGCUGGUGGUGGCUGUUCUUGUAGUUUCUUACUCAAAUUGUUGAAAGUCGCCAUCUUUGCUGGAGUUAAUGAUACCCUCAAGGAAGAUCUAGUGAAGAGGGCUGGUCUGAAGUUGCAGGAGGCUUCUGUUGAGGAUCUGUUGAUCCCGGCACAGUCGCCUCAGUCUACUACAAAGUACGAUGUUGAGUUGGUGAAGAGCCUUGUCAAUGAAUUCCUGACGAACGAAAAGCAUUUUGAGGAGUCGAGCAUUGAGAAGAAUGGUGGGGAAGUAGAAAGAUUCCUUUUCCCACCUGAGCAUAGGUCCUUGAUGCAUGUUGGCCAACUGAUUGAUGGCUACCUGGCUGAGAUUGCUCAUGAUGCCAAUGUUGGCCUCGAAAGCUUCAUGGACCUUUCUCGAUCUGUUCCGGAGCCUGCAAGGCCGAUUCAUGAUGGUCUUUACAUGGCGAUUGACAUCUACCUCAAGGCAAGCUAAUACUAUUAUAAUUGGUUACAUAACUUAGUAACUGGUUAUAAUCACAUGUAACUAGUUAUGAUAGGUUGUAACUGAUUAUAAUCCUAUUAUGUUCAUUUUUCCUUUCCAAAGUUAAAAAGUAAUUCAUGUGCUUACCCAUAAAAGGCGUUUCUUAUUAUUAUUAUUAUCAUUCAGGAGCAUCCAGGGUUGAGUAAGGUUGAAAGAAAGAAGAUGUGCAGCAUGUUGGAUGUUAAGAAGCUGACAAUGAAUGCUUCAAUGCACGCAGCACAAAAUGAGAGUCUCCCGCUUCGUUUGGUUGUACAAGUUCUCUUCUUUGAGCAGGUCAGAGCAGCAGCAGCAGCAGCUAAUGGUCAAAGCCUCAACCACAACCUGAAUUACACUUCGAAUGCGACGAAAAACACAGAGGAAGGUUGCGAAGUCCUGGAGAAGCAAAUGAGCGUGAAAUUGAAGGUAGCAACUGUUGAGGCUGAGGAGGAGGAAGAGGAGGAGCAG
rnacentral:lncRNA from 1 species